GCCUUUCCUCCACCUCCCUCUCCACUCUCUAAACACCACCCUGAAGAAAGUCAAAUUUGCCUCUGAAGAGUUUCUAUACAAAGCCCAAGCCUCACUGUUAUUCUUGGGUAGAAACUAAAUAAGCAGAAUGACCCAGACCCAAAAAAAAAAAAAAAAUGAGGAAGAAGGCUGUGCAUACUUGGUUCCUGAGCACAGAUUUUUUCCAUUAGUUGCCCUGGUGGUAAUCUUUGCCUUUAGUCUAUCAUGUGAAGUUAGGGCUUCAGGAAUAAGAAGAGGAGUUCUUGCUCAUAAAAUGUUUUAAACAAUAUUUUGGUACACAUGUUAAGGUGUUAUUUAUUUUUUCUAAUUAUAAUAUGCCUGGUUUCUGUUCUCACGACUAAAAGGCUCAGGGGUCACUCUAGUUAAACUGGGCUAACUGGGCUGCACGAAAUAACCACACAAGAGACACAAAUACCUUUUUCUUUGGGGUUGCUGUGACGGCUCCUCUGACCUUAAGUGUCCGCAGAAAGAGAGAGAGCGAGAGCACAUGCGCUGACCCCUUUUAUUGAGGAGAAGCUAUUCAAAUGAGGCAAGGGGUCAGGUUUCAGGGGGCUGAGUCUAUCUUCAUGAUGUCCACUGUCAGCAGGUUGACUGACACCUGGGUAGGCAACACCCAAGGGCACAGUAAGAGGAGGGGACACACACAAGGCACUUCCAUGGAAGAUUCUAUCCUAAACAGGGCAAGGGGUUAUAUUACAAAGGAACAGGUGAGCAUAGCUUCACCCAUGGGGCUGUAGCAAGACACACCCAUUUCUGUGACUGAGCGCCUCAGUACCCAGAUGGGGAGUGUAACUCAGUCACCCAUAAGCUUGGCCUCCCACAAUAAUACUAGUG
rnacentral:lncRNA from 1 species